rnacentral:rRNA from 1 species
GACGAACGUUGGCGGCGUGCUUAACACAUGCAAGUCGAGCGGAAAGGCCCUUUCGGGGGUACUCGAGCGGCGAACGGGUGAGUAACACGUGAGUAAUCUGCCCUUCACUUGGGGAUAACCUCCGGAAACGGUGGCUAAUACCCGAUACGACCAUUCCUCGCAUGAGGUGGUGGUGGAAAGUUUUUCGGUGGGGGAUGUGCUCGCGGCCUAUCAGCUUGUUGGUGGGGUAAUGGCCUACCAAGGCUUCGACGGGUAGCCGGCCUGAGAGGGUGACCGGCCACACUGGGACUGAGACACGGCCCAGACUCCUACGGGAGGCAGCAGUGGGGAAUAUUGGACAAUGGGCGGAAGCCUGAUCCAGCAACGCCGCGUGAGGGAUGACGGCCUUCGGGUUGUAAACCUCUUUCACCUGUGACGAAGCGAAAGUGACGGUAGCAGGAGAAGAAGCACCGGCCAACUACGUG